UAAGGAGUUCUUGCCACGAUGGAAGUAACCCAUUACGAUGCAUCCAUUGAUACCGAUGCAGUGCAUCAGCAUCCAUAUGAAAAGAAGAUAUAAUCAAGCGUGGUUGAUCUGGAGUCUCAUGAAAAAAAAAAUCUGCUCUUCCCUAAAAAUCCAUCCAUGCGGAUCCUCUACAUUGAAACGCAGAACAUCGAGCUUCAAAGUUCUCAUAGGUUGCACGGUAUUACCCUCGCCCACUAAUGCUUGCUCUUAUCGAAUUGUUGGACUUGUAGUUGAUCCUUAUACAUCAACACUGGGAUUUUUCAGACUCUGCUCUAUUUGACCUUCCAUUGACGUUAAUUUCAAGCUUAUUUCCUUGAGAAUGUUGCCGAAAGAACUGAACUGCUCAUCAUGCGAUGCCAAGCGAUUUAGGCAAUCUUCAAGAGCUUGUGAUAAAUAAGCUCGAGUCUAAUCUGCCAUGGCUGACCUCCAAGUUUUACUCUCAACAAGAGCACCAAAUGUUAAGAAAAUAAUUGCACAAUUCGAGGUUGUACACCUCCUAAGCAGAAAAGAGAAGAAGAAUUGAAGCAAUUGGAUUCCUC
rnacentral:lncRNA from 1 species